CCAAGUGGGAGUGACUCCCUCGUCACUGAUAAGAAGCCCACGGUACAUACUUAUCUCAUACUCUCAAUCUUGUACAAUAUGUGAUUAGUACUCAUCUUUCUCAUUUUCGACUUGCCAGAGUUCGAAACCCCCAACGGGUUCGAAGCGUAAAGCUUCUUCGACCACUGGUUCGGAUGGCGAAGAUAAAUCCCCUCCUCAAACUAGACAAGGACAGAAGAAAAAAUACAAAGCUGUUACCCCUUCGAGAAAAGGGAGAAAGGCAAGUCCUUCCAAAGCUGUUUCUCCUGGUGAUAAAGCGUCCUCUGAAGAGUCUCCUUUGAAAGCUGCUAGUAAUGCUUUCGUUGUGGAAAGCCAUAAUUCAAGUCCAGACAAUAUUCCACCCAAGGAUGAUGCUGGCACUGCUACUUCCGGUUUUAAAGACCCUGGCCUCACCAUUGAUGUUGACAAACUUUAUGGUACCUCUCAAAAUCAAACUCGUGUUCUUUCACCAGUCUUUGAAGACGUUAGGCCAAUUGCUACCAUAUUGCCUAAUGAACCAGUCGAAGAAAGCCACUCUACUGACGAAUCCCCACCUACCCAUCAAGGCA